GACGGAGGAUCCAAGCGUUAUCCGGAUUCAUUGGGCUUAAAGGGCUCGUAGGCGGCCAACUAAGUCAGACGUGAAAUCCCUAGGCUUAACCGGGGAACUGCGUCUGAUACUGGAUGGCUUGAGGUUGGGAGAGGGAUGCGGAAUUCCAGGUGUAGCGGUGAAAUGCGUAGAUAUCUGGAGGAAUACCGGUGGCGAAGGCGGCAGCCUGGACCAUAACUGACGCUGAGGCGCGAAAGCUAGGGGAGCAAACGGG
rnacentral:rRNA from 1 species